CAGCAGCCGCGGUAACACGAGGGGGGCAAGCGUUGUUCGGAAUUAUUGGGCGUAAAGGGUGCGUAGGCGGUUUCGUAGGUCUUAUGUGAAAUCUAUGGGCUCAACCCAUAGUCUGCAUGGGAAACUGCGAGGCUUGAGGAUGGGAGAGGUGAGUGGAAUUUCCGGUGUAGCGGUGAAAUGCGUAGAUAUCGGAAGGAACACCUGUGGCGAAAGCGGCUCACUGGACCAUUUCUGACGCUGAUGCACGAAAGCUAGGGGAGCAAACAGGAUUAGAUACCCCCGUAGUCCCUGUCUCUUAUAC
rnacentral:rRNA from 1 species